UAUCUUUUUUCCUUAAGCCAUGUGUUCAUACUUUCUGAUUAGAUUGCGGUUUGAUAUGAAUGUUUGCAUCUAAAAUCAUAAGUUGAAAGAAAAAGAAUACCAACUGACUUUCAGACGAGACCCACAGGAAGCAACAAGAAUAAAAUCCCCAAGUCUAAAAGGACGUGGAAACUUUACAUCCAAAUAUGCAAAAUGAGCCCUGAAAACCUUCUUGUUUUGUUACUGGGUCAGAGGAGAAUAGUGAAAAGAAUAGCUCACUUAAGGAAUAAACAAUAAUCCUGAUGCCUGAGGCAAAACUAGUUUAAGACCAAUCAGAAGGGGUAUAUAAAAUCAAAACAAAUGUUUAGAACAAUCCAUUCAGCAGAAACCCUGAAAAGAUAAAUUUUAAUGAAUGCUUCUAGAAACUUCCAAUGACUCAUAAAGAAAAAAAAAAAAAAAGCCUACCUUAGGACUGGCAAGACGUCCACCUCAACAGCACAAAGAGGUAAAUAUUUUAACCCAAAGCAGCUUCCGGCUGGUAGAUUUUUGUCUUGAUGGGCUGUCCAUAAGAACUCCCAGUUCUUUCCCUUCCUUGUGUGGCUGUAGGUCUCUCUCAGUUAUGUUUCUUAGAGAUCACAUCUGCUUCCUGGACAAAUGUUUUUUGUUCACCCUGGUUUAAUGGGAUUGAGAAUGUCUUUUUUCCAGGAAAGUAUUGAUCACUAAAAUAAAGAAUAUGUUUUUAUUCCCAGAGGCAUCAAUUCACUUGUUAUAAUCAUACUGGGGGGAAAGCAUUAAGUAAGACUUUGUUUGUAAGACAACAAACUUGACCAGUGUCCUCAGCCAAGGAAAAAUGAUACUGCAACUUUAAAUUUUAAAGUACCUUGCACUGAUAAAUAUAUUUAAAAGUUAUAUGUUUAUAAAGUUAUUAAUUUGUAAAGGCAGUGUUACAAAAUGUUCAGUUUAUAUUGUUUUAGAUUGUUUCGUAAUUUUUAAAGGUGUAAAAUAACAUAUUUUUUCUUUAUUGAAAUCUAUAAGACUUUCCGUAGUAAGAUGUCUCAUUUUCUGGUAUAUUAUUGCUUCAUGUUUUGUACCCUCAUAAAAUUUUGUGCAAAUUUUUUUUACAGAAAUUUUUAUUUUCUAUGAUGAUAUGUAUGACACUUGUAAAUUGUUUCAAAAUGAACAGCGAAGCCUUAACUUGAAAUGACAUUUGUAUUCUCUGAGUAGCAUAAAAACCACCUAGAAUGAACUGUAACUUAAUCUCGAAACUACACAUUCCAAAGAAGCAGUUGAAUUAAACGUUUUCAUAAAAAUCCC
rnacentral:lncRNA from 1 species